ensembl:lncRNA
CGACACGCCAUCAAACAACACAUCCCCUCCGCCAUCUUCUAGCCUUCCUGAGUCUGCCUCCUCUCCGUCUUUCUCCCAAUGAAUGGCUUGAUGUCUCCAUGUCUCUGUGGACGCAAGGCCGAACACGCAUCGCACACUGCAUGCCUCUUUCCCUCCAGACAAAAAAAAAGGUUUCAAAUUCUCGCUGAAGUUUCUAGCCACAAGCAUAAACUACCUAGCUGGCUUUUUCGAUGAUAUCAUGGGGGUCUGCAAACAAACGUUUAAGGUGCAUUCUGCCACCUGUGCAGGAGUGUGAGAUCAUUUAUGGUCUGCAUAUUUUUUUUCUGUAAAAUAAUUAUUUAAAUCAACAAAUCCCUACUAACUUCUACCACACCCUCCCGCCAAAACUCUCCCCAGCCCUCCAACCCCAUUAAACUGCAUCUAUAUCAUGCUGAAACAGUCCACCCUUAGGAUUGUCAACAUAUGUUACCCAUAAAAACUUUGAAUAUAGAAGGUUGUGUAGGAACUAGAAUAUUUCAGUGAUAUUUCUGCUGUGUGUGGCUUUGACAGAUCCCAUGGGAUGAUAAACAUGUUCUUUGCCAUGUUAUAGCCCUAUUCGGACAGGCGUUUCUAGAGACGUUAUUUUUGUAAUUAUUAACCAAGCAUGUGUGUUAUUCCAGAGGAAGAUUCACACAAGAUUUGUUUUUCCAAAUUGCCCCCGUUUUAUUGACUCUUAUGACAGAAGCCCGAUGCAUGGUUCUGACUGUCUGCCUGUGCCCCUCCCAUAUCUCUCUCUCUCCCUCGCUAGCUCGCUCUUUAUUUGCUGUGAAAGAUGCUACAGUUUUUGUUCUCGAAGUAAUAGACUACGGAAAAUAGUUUCCUCCGAUGCAAAAAUACAGAAUCUUACCCAGAAAUGGGAAUCGACUCCCACCACUAAGCACUAGAUCUGUGCUGUGAAAACGAAAGGUUUCGUGUCCGUUUCAAAUAUAUUACUACAGGAAAAUACCGAAGAACAAUUAAAACUGUGUUUGGACCGACCUGGCUAGGCCUCUGAGGAAUUUAUGAGGGCACAGGGAAUACUUCUCAAGGUUUCCCUUAUCUCGGGGGAAUGGAACUGUCGGCUGGGUAGUGAUACACAGUGGUGAGAACUACGGAGAAGGAUAAAACUCACCUACUGUUUGUGUGGAAGUAUGUGCGUAGGAUACCUACUGUUUGUGUGGAAGUAUGUGCAAUAAAAUGGAUGUCUUGGUAUAAUGGACUUCAGAACGUUCUCUGAAUAAACUGUACCAUAUUUUUGCAUAAACUGGGUCUUUGACUAAUUAUUAUUAAACCCAAGGUCUUACAGAUCUCGGGGAUUGGUCAGAGUUAUUGAUUGUCAGUUAUUAUCAUUGGAAUUGAAAAUUCUCGUGACAGUUUGUAAAAUGGCGACGUCCACUCUGAGUCAACGGACUUCAGUGCAGGC